CCUUCAAAACACACAAGCUUCUUGCUCACGGCAUAAAGCCCAAUUCCCUCUGGCCCCUGCAGGUUGGCUCAGCACUGGGGAAUCAGUGUCCCCUCCAUGACCAAGGCACCACUCCACUGACAGGUAUGGUAUCCAUUUGCCCUCUCUUCUUGGAUUCCCAAGCUGGGGCAGUGUCCAUGGCAGCCAAGGGUGGCUUGGAUCUGCCCAUCCCAUUCUCUUCAGGCCCUCCUCAGGAAUCAAGGUCAAAGGUGGGAGGAAGAAGGUUUCCACUGGCCUUUUAUUCUAGAGCUUCUAGUAGAGGGGAAAAGGAGAUAUGAUAUUUUCUAUACAAUAGGAUGUUUAGGACACAGUCACAUGGAAAUGGAAUGUUCUUUGGACCCAGGAGUCAGGAAAUCUUAGUAGCAGUCCUGAUUUUACCAUUUUCCCAAUGUGUAUCUUUGUUUAAGUCCUUUCUCCAAUCUAGGACACAGUUUUUUUCACCCCUUUUGCAAAAUGAAAAAUUAAAAAGAGGAAAAGAAUGAUUAGAUAAAUGCUGUCUAGAGACUCAUAGUUAUUAGAUUCCUUAUUUUCAUGAUGGUCAGCCCUCUGUCAAGAAAGAAGAUGAGUGUAAUCUUUGCAUAUGUAACUGUGGGGCGGGGGGACUGAACACAUCCAAGAGGAGAGUGCUGGUGGUAAUCCAUAUAGCACUCUCUGAGAGGCAUGACUCGAAGAUGAAAGCCUCUUCUCUAGCCCAAUCUUUGACUCCUAAAAGUUCAAAAUUGAAAGGCUCUUAGGGACUAGGUACUUAUGGAAAAAACUGAGGUCCAGAAAGAGGAAGAAAGGGACUUGCCCAAAGUCAUACAGAGAAUCUGUAGCAGAGCUGGGUGGUUCCCAGAUCAGUCCUCUUUCUGCUCUAUCCUAGGAGGACUGAGACAUCAAGCAGCAGGACCUGUCCUGUAACUGACCCAGCUGGGCCUCCUCAUACUAGAGGCAGUCUGGAAGUUUUAGGCAUGGUCCUGAAGACUUCUUCUUUUCUUCUAUUUUUCUUUCAGGGUUUCUGGAGGUGAAUAAAGUCAGAAAGGGCAUUCAAAAGGCUGUGAACACCUCCACCUUAUAUAGGUCUUCUUACUGGAGCUGGCAGCCAAUGAGGGUAAUGAUACAAAAAAGGUAACAAUCCAUUUCUUUCUUCCCUGCCAUCCCCAACUCAGACUCUGUUAAUCAGCAUGCUUGGCUGGCCUCCAAUCACAGGUCCAGGAGCUGAGACAAGGGUCCUUUUGAGCUCCUAUGUGGGAGGCUCUGGAAAGCUUAGCAACACUUUCCAACAACUUUGCCAGGUAAGUUUUCUUGUCCCCAUUUCCAGAGAAGACAACUGAAGCCCAAAGAAAGACUUCCCCAAGCCAUGAUUGGCUAGUUGAUGGCCAAGACAGCAUUAGAACACAAGUUUGUCUGAUUCUUUCAUGGUAUAUCUGGUGACCAUGACUGCUGCUUUUGCUGCUGGUUGGCUUAGGCUGAAUUGGGUAGGUAGAAAAGGAAGUGAGGGGCUGAAAGAGCUUUAGUUUUGAGAUUACUGCCAGAACUUAAAUUGAAGGGGUAUGUUACCCCCUUACAUUCAAUUAAAAGAAAUGAGCAAGAAAAAAUACAGAGUGUUUUCUUGCUGAAAGACAAGGCUGAAUCCCUCUGUCUUGCCUUGGCUGGGACAAGGCUUUCCAGCCUCAUGGGGACAGUUUCCCAUUUCUGGUAACCUUGGGAAGUUUGCAACUUUUCAUGACAAUAUGUAAUAUAGACCAGCUACCUGCUCACAGAUCAACUGCCACAGCUGGUAAGGGCAGUAAUUUGAUACCAGCAGCCUGGCAUUUUUAGCAACAGGAUCUGAUUGUUGCCAAGGAAAUUCUCCCAGAAGUCUCAGACCUGACCCUGCUCCUGUCAGCUUCCUUAUUGCCCUGGUGGCUUGUGGGUUCACUGAUCCCAAAUGCUGCAUUGCAAAGCUAUUGCCUGUUUUUACCCUCUUUGUUGAUGUGUCUCCCGUUUCCUAGAGGGAUAUACAGAGAAGGGAGGCAAAAUAACCAAUGAGGAAAGCUGUAUAAGGCAUACUGUUGAACUGUAAAAAACUUAUUGCAUAAACUUUACAAGUCUCCUCCCCGACAUGAACCUUUGUUCUCUCAUUUAUAACCUAAGUGAGUGAGACUAGAUGAUCUUUAAGGGCACUUUAAUAGCUGCCAUUCUUGAGUCCCUAUGGGACAAGAGGAUCAUGUUAGGCAAGGCUGAGACCACAAGAAAUCAAUGUCACACCUGUCCAGAUCCUGCUAAAUCAAUUGCCAAUAGCUCUUUCUUUCAUUUUAGUGGUACAACCACUGCUUUUUGAGCAUUUGUUAUGUAUUGAAUACUGAACCAAAGGCUUUACAUGCAUUAUCUCCUGUCAUUCUCACAAUAAUCUUAUGAGGUAGGUACUAUACUUAAUAUAUUUUGUGGGUGUAGCAAACUUGAACUCACAGAGGUGAAAUGAUUGAUCGAAGGUUGGCUAGCUAGCUAAUGGAAGAACUAGGAUUUAAGCUCAUGUUUAACCUCAAAGCCUAUGUGCAUAACCACAACACUGUGAAAACACAACUUGGGAGAAUCGAGAAGAGGGAGCAAGGAUGCUGUCUCUGGGGUCUGGUACUUUCCUCAAGUCAGGGAGGCAGGAUGAUGACCAAAUUUUCCCAUCUUUGCUGCAUAGAGGAACCCAUUGAAGCUUGGGACCCCUAGAAAUGCCAUAGCUACAGGAUUCAGGCCUGAUGAGCUUCCAGCUGAGCACUGGGUGUCACUUGGGCUUUACCUGCUUAUCCUCAGGAUCUCUCUUCUGGUUAGGAACUUUAUGCCUGUUUUGCUCACUUUCGUAUUCUGGUGCUUUGUCUGGUUCUUUCAGCAAGCUCCCUGGGGCUAAGGGUGUGACUUCAUCACUUCUUUCUCUCUCUUUCCCUCUAGGGUCAUAUCUCCCAGGAAGAUCUCACUUCCCCACAGAAUCUCCUGGCCCGGCCUCCUGCAGUGCCACGCUCCGUGUAUUUGACAAGCUGAGUUGGACACUCCGUGUGGUAGAGUGUCAGUUUGUCAAAUACCCCAAGUGCGGCAUAUGCUUACCAGCUCCAGGCCAGGGCAGAUGGCAUAUGACGAAUGGACUGCCAGCUGGAUACAAGGAUGCUCACCAAGCACCAAGUUCUCAUAAGUUAUUUUAUGUGACUCUGCAGGAACUGAGGCAUUUUUUUCUGAGGACACCAGAGAAAAAGUGUAGCAUCUCUGGGAAAUACAGCCCUGGGCUGAGUCUACACACACCAUGAGAGUGCUGACGGUGGUGCAAUAGACUUGAAAAUGUAUAAUGGGUUCAAGAAUGGAAGUGCUCUUUGAUUCUUUUUUAUUUUCUUCCUUCACAUUCCCCUCCCAGAGUCUCCCAUGUAGGACAUCAGAAUUCUCACACAAGCAUCACGGUUUAUGUGAGUAAGCAGGGGUUAGAAAUUCACUUUCUUGACACUCAGUCUUGCCUUCUAAAUACUCCUUGAUCUUGCCUACCUCUUCCCUUUUCCACAUGUCUUUUCCUCUAGGAACACUUUCUCCGUUUAUAUCUGCCUAUCCAGUUCUUCCUUAUAUUUCCUGUAUCAGCUAAAGUCCAGUGUUUCCAGAGACUUUUGAAAGUCAACUUAUACUUUUUCCUUCUUCAUUCAUAAAGCACUUCUUGCCUGGGCCCUGGUAUGUGCCCCUUUCUCUCCUACAGUCUAAUAGCAGUAGGAGAGAAUUGCCCUCUUGAAUUGUCAGUGACAACUGACAACUCUUGAAUUGUCAGUGAACUUUUCUAGGGUUUUUUUUUUUUUGAAUUCCCAACUAGAUUGUGAGCUUCUAGAAGACAAGGCUAUGUCUUUGAUUGCUGUCUCCCCUACCAAAACUCAGUACUUUAGUUACAGAAAAUAAUAAACAUAUACCGAUUGACUGACUUUCCUCUAGUCCACUAGCUUUGGGUUUAGGCUUUGGGGCCAAAUUGUACUCUGGAUUUUGAAAAAAAAUCAAACUGUGAACACCACAAUGUUAUAGAGCAUAUGAGGUAGUAGCCAGCAUGAAGGAUUUUUUUAUUCCUGAGAAACAGUGUCAAGGGCUGGAGGAAGAAGGCAAAAUAGCAGACUCAGAGGGCAAAUAAAUUUUGGUAUUACUUGAUUACAUAGAGUUAUACAGGUGCUUUCUUGUAGGAUUUUUCAGAGCCUUUAAUAGUCUAACGUUGCAUUGAGAAACUCAAAGAGGAAACCAUAGAAUGAGGCCUUUGCCGUAUCUAUCUGAUCAUGAAUUUCUUUUCCCCCACAGGCGUUCUCCUGUGUCAAUGUUUAACGAAGCAUGAUUUGGGAAACUGUCGUAGAGAGAAACUGUCGUAGAGAGAAACUGUCGUAGAGAAACUUUAUACCUUCCCUAUCUUCUGGAGAUCUUUUCCUCUUUUCACUCAUCUACUUUCCCCAACCAGCCAUCUGCCUAAGAAAGGUCCCAACCUGAUUUUUGUUUAGCCUAUCCUGCAGCUGUGGACUAUCUCUAUUACAUAGGAAUUCUUUACUAGCUUGUCCUGCAUUUAAAAAAAUUCUUGAAGUUUUGAAGCAAAGGUGAUCCAGAUGCUGCAAUAAAUACAUGCACUGAGGA